GCCGGCAGCCAGCUCUCUGCAACUCUCACAUGGUCGCCCACUGAAGCUAAGCAGGGAUGCGCCCGGUCAGUACUUGGAUGGGAGAGCACAUGGGAAAGCUAGGUUGCUGCCGGAA
rnacentral:rRNA from 1 species